GAUUAACGCUAGCGGCAGGCCUAAUACAUGCAAGUCGAACGGUAAAUAGGUAGCGAAUAUCUAUGAGAGUGGCGCACGGGUGAGUAACGCGUAUGCAACCUACCUUUAACUGGGGGAUAGCUCCGAGAAAUCGGGAUUAAUACCGCAUAAUAUUAUCGAAUGGCAUCAUUUGAUAAUCAAACUCUGGUGGUUAAGAUGGGCAUGCGUGACAUUAGUUAGUUGGCGAGGUAACGGCUCACCAAGGCUACGAUGUCUAGGGGGUCUGAGAGGAUGAUCCCCCACACUCGGUACUGAGAUACGGACCAGACUCCUACGGGAGGCAGCAGUAAGGAUAUUGGUCAAUGGACGCAAGUCUGAACCAGCCAUGCCGCGUGCAGGAUGACUGCCCUAUGGGUU
rnacentral:rRNA from 1 species